CAGUCGAACGGAGCCUUAACCAAAGAAGCAGCCAGCUUGCUGGAAGCGGAAAAGGGAAAGGCUUAGUGGCGGACGGGUGAGUAACGCGUGGGUAACCUGGCCCAUACAGGGGGAUAACACUUAGAAAUAGGUGCUAAUACCGCAUAACAACAGAAAGCGCAUGCUUUUUGUUUGAAAACCAAGGUGGUAUGGGAUGGACCCGCGUCUGAUUAGCUGGUUGGCGGGGUAAAGGCCCACCAAGGCGACGAUCAGUAGCCGGCCUGAGAGGGUGGACGGCCACAUUGGGACUGAGACACGGCCCAAACUCCUACGGGAGGCAGCAGUGGGGAAUAUUGCACAAUGGGGGAAACCCUGAUGCAGCGACGCCGCGUGAGUGAAGAAGUAAUACGUUAUGUAAAGCUCUAUCAGCAGGGAAGAAAAUGACGGUACCUGAGUAAGAAGCCCCGGCUAACUACGUGCCAGCAGCCGCGGUAAUACGUAGGGGGCAAGCGUUAUCCGGAUUUACUGGGUGUAAAGGGAGCGUAGACGGCAGUGCAAGUCUGGAGUGAAAGGCGGGGGCUCAACCCCCGGACUGCUCUGGAAACUGUACGGCUGGAGUGCAGGAGAGGUAAGUGGAAUUCCUAGUGUAGCGGUGAAAUGCGUAGAUAUUAGGAGGAACACCAGUGGCGAAGGCGGCUUACUGGACUGUAACUGACGUUGAGGCUCGAAAGCGUGGGGAGCAAACAGGAUUAGAUACCCUGGUAGUCCACGCCGUANACGAUGAUCACUAGGUGUCGGGGGUUNAAGAACC
rnacentral:rRNA from 1 species